AAGGAAUAUUGGUCAAUGGACGCAAGUCUGAACCAGCCAUGCCGCGUGAAGGAUGAAGGUCCUCUGGAUUGUAAACUUCUUUUAUCUUGGACGAAAACGGGAUUUUUAUCUCAAUUGACGGUACCAGAGGAAUAAGCACCGGCUAACUCCGUGCCAGCAGCCGCGGUAAGACAGAGGGUGCAAACGUUGUUCGGAAUUACUGGGCGUAAAGCGCGUGUAGGCGGUCGUGCAAGUCGGGUGUGAAAGCCCAGGGCUCAACCCUGGAAGUGCAUUCGAUACUGCAUGGCUAGAGUCCCGGAGAGGAUGGUGGAACUCUAGGUGUAGAGGUGAAAUUCGUAGAUAUCGAGAAGAACACCGGUGGCGAAGGCGGCCAUCUGGACGGUGACUGACGCUGAGACGCGAAAGCGUGGGGAGCAAACA
rnacentral:rRNA from 1 species